AUUGAACGCUGGCGGCAGGCCUAACACAUGCAAGUCGAGCGGAUGAAGGGAGCUUGCUCCUGGCUUCAGCGGCGGACGGGUGAGUAAUGCCUAGGAAUCUGCCUGGUAGUGGGGGCUAACGUCCGGAAACGGGCGCUAAUACCGCAUACGUCCUGAGGGAGAAAGUGGGGGAUCUUCGGACCUCACGCUAUCAGAUGAGCCUAGGUCGGAUUAGCUAGUUGGUGGGGUAAAGGCCUACCAAGGCGACGAUCCGUAACUGGUCUGAGAGGAUGAUCAGUCACACUGGAACUGAGACACGGUCCAGACUCCUACGGGAGGCAGCAGUAGGGAAUAUUCGACAAUGGGCGAAAGCCUGAUCCAGCCAUGCCGCGUGUGUGAAGAAGGUCUUCGGAUUGUAAAGCACUGUAAGUUGGGAGGAAGGGCAGUAAGUUAAUACCUGGCUGUUUUGACGUUACCAACAGAAUAAGCACCGGCUAACUUCGUG
rnacentral:rRNA from 1 species